rnacentral:rRNA from 1 species
GACGAACGCUGGCGGCGUGCUUAACACAUGCAAGUCGAACGAGGCCCCUCCUUCGGGAGGGUGUCCUAGUGGCGAACGGGUGAGUAACACGUGGGCAACCUGCCCCCGGCUCUGGGAUAACCCCAAGAAAUUGGGGCUAAUACCGGAUAUGACCGCUGACCGCAUGGUCGGUGGUGGAAAGUUUUUUCGGCUGGGGAUGGGCCCGCGGCCUAUCAGCUUGUUGGUGGGGUAGUGGCCUACCAAGGCGACGACGGGUAGCCGGCCUGAGAGGGUGACCGGCCACACUGGGACUGGGACACGGCCCAGACUCCUACGGGAGGCAGCAGUGGGGAAUAUUGCGCAAUGGGCGGAAGCCGGACGCAGCGACGCCGCGUGGGGGAUGACGGCCUUCGGGUUGUAAACCUCUUUCAGCAGGGACGAAGCGAAAGUGACGGUACCUGCAGAAGAAGCACCGGCCAACUACGUGCCAGCCGCCGCAGUAA